rnacentral:rRNA from 1 species
GUCUAUGGUCAUACCACCCUGAACACGCCCGAUCUCGUCUGAUCUCAGAAAAGUAUAGGAGGAUUAUCAAUUGCCCCAAAUU